GGCGCCUCUGCCUGGCCGCCCCUACUGGGAAGUGAGGAGCCCCUCUGCCAGGCCAGCCGCCCCAUCCGGGAGGGAGGUGGGGGGGUCAGCCCCCCGCCCGGCCAGCCGCCCCGCCCGGGAGGUGAUGGGCGCCUCUGCCCGGCCGCCCCUACUGGGAAGUGAGGAGCCCCUCUGCCCGGCCACCACCCCGUCUGGGAGGUGUGCCCAACAGCUCAUUG
rnacentral:lncRNA from 1 species